CUGGCUUAAACAAAAAGUUUAGAAGCAAGCCUUGCCUAUUGCUGUUUUUUACCAAGUUAACACUUGGUGUGAACUGAGAACCUGUCAUCGAGGCUAGAGUCACGCUUGGGUAUCGGCUAUUGCCUGAGUGUGCUAGAGUCCUCGAAGAGUAACUGCUGACCUUAUUCACUGGCUGUGGGCCUUAUGGCACAGUCAGUCACCAGGUUAGAGACAUGCUUCACAUUCACCUACCCACAAACUAGUGGAUGAUAAAUUUUGGCUAUUCAGAAGACGUUUAUUAU
rnacentral:lncRNA from 1 species